rnacentral:miRNA from 1 species
UUGCGGGGGGAUCACAUCAUGU